rnacentral:lncRNA from 1 species
GGCCUCCCAAAGUGCUAUGAUUACAGGCAGUAGCCACUGCACCCAGCCUUGAAUUCAGUUUUUUUAAUUUUUAAUGUCAGUGGACUUAUCCUGGGCCCUGAGCUUUUCCACAUAGCAGAAGACCCCUGAACUGCAGAAAAGGAAAUGAGAGCUCCCACCUGCUCCUUAGGUUACUUGGGGCAGGUCCCCUCAAUUCUGCAAGUCUCCUUUCAUUUUUUGUGUAGAAUGAAGUGCUGUGGAACAUCAGAUAGAAUGGAUAGCACAGCCCAAAUUUUACAAAAAGGAUUUUAAAGGAAGAUCUCAAUGGUGGAACACUAGAGGCUUUCCUGCUAAAGUUAAGAACAAGCAAAGGCUGACGCAGUUUUGGCAUGCAGGAAGUGUUGGAGCUGAGACUCGAAACUGUCCCCCAGGCCUUGGCCAUGCUGAUAAAUAUCUAGGCCCUACAGGAGUUCGUGUCCAUGAACCCAGUAAACGCAAUUCCUCAGCCUUAAAAUCUAGUCACUGACUCAUUUCAGGCCCCAGCACAGACGAAAACAAGCCAUUCUGUUUGCCCAGUUUACAUUGCGGGUCUCCAAGAAGUGGAAUGUUCACCAAUGAUUUUAAGAAAACAGGGCCUGGCGCGGUGGCUCACGCCUGUAAUCCCAGCACUUUGGGAGGCCGAGGCAGGCAGAUCACCUGAG